rnacentral:rRNA from 1 species
AUUGAACGCUGGCGGCAUGCCUUACACAUGCAAGUCGAACGGUAACAGGUUAAGCUGACGAGUGGCGAACGGGUGAGUAAUGUAUCGGGACGUGCCCAGUCGUGGGGGAUAACUACUCGAAAGAGUGGCUAAUACCGCAUAAGACCUGAGGGUGAAAGCGGGGGACCGUAAGGCCUCGCGCGAUUGGAGCGGCCGAUAUCGGAUUAGCUAGUUGGUGGGGUAAAAGCUUACCAAGCCGACGAUCUGUAGCUGGUCUGAGAGGACGACCAGCCACACUGGGACUGAGACACGGCCCAGACUCCUACGGGAGGCAGCAGUGGGGAAUUUUGGGCAAUGGGCGCAAGCCUGAUCCAGCCAUGCCGCGUGCAGGAUGAAGGCCUUCGGGUUGUAAACUGCUUUUGUACGGAGCGAAAAGGCUUCCACUAAUACUGGGGGCUCAUGACGGUACCGUAAGAAUAAGCACCGGCUAACUACGUGCCAGCCGCCGCAGUAAUAC